rnacentral:lncRNA from 1 species
CUUUUGUCUUUUUAGGGCCACGCCCGCAGCACAUGGAGGUUCCCAGGCCACAGGUCUAAUCAGAGCUACAGCUGCCGGCCUAUGCCACAGCCACAGCAACGCCAGAUCCGAGGCAUGUCUUUGACCUACACCACAGUUCACGGCAACACUGGAUCCUUAACCCACUGAGUAAGGCCAGGGAUUGAACCCCCAACCUCGUGGUUCCUAGUUGGACUCAUUUCCACUGCGCCACGAGGGAAACUCAAUGCAUUUUUAUCAUCAAAGGAAAGGUGGGGAGGGGGAGAGGACCACCUCCUUCCUAUUCUUUUAUAAAGUUGUUGCAGGACCACGAGAGGAUGGUCCCACCCCAGGUCUCUGGCCACCAAGCGAGGGUCCUUGGCAUCUCUUAGGAAAGAAUUCAAAAAUAAACCAGUAAAGGGAAUGCUGGGUUAUUGAGAGAGAUACACACUCUACAGGCAGAAUGCGGUCUGUCUCAAAAGGCUGCAGAUAUAAUAACUGUAACACACCUAAGAAGUUAAUGUUCAUUUCCUAGUAUGAUCAAAUAUUCAGUGUUCAAAAUGAUCUCGAAAUGACCUUCUAUAAUUGGUUUGCUCAAAUUAGGAUCUAAACCAAAAUCUACACCUUGCGUUGGGUUGAAAUGGUUCAAAGCUCUCUUUUGUCUACAACAGUUCCCUUCUUUUGUAUUCACUGAAGAAACCAGGUCAUUUCUCCUAUAGAAUUUCCAAGUGUUGCUGUCUGCAUCCUGGUGGUACCAUUCAUCACGCACCUCUAGCCCCUGAUUCUGUAAAUCGGGAGUUAGAUCUUAUACUUUUCCACACAGAAGAGGUAAUCCCUGAAGACAAAGACUUGUUGGAGGACAUGAUAAAUCCAGUGUUGAGAGUGAUUGACUAAACACAUAUACGUGCAGGUGAGGGUUUUGAGAGAUGCUAUCAAAACGAUGCAGCAGCUGUCCUUGGGGGUGUGUUUGGGUCACCCAGCUUGUAUUGCUGCCAAUGCUGGUAACCAGAUGCUUUUGGAAAGGAAAGAAGAAGACAACGAGAACCCUCUGGAUAUCUUUUGAAAGUGAGUUAUUUGGCAUACAGUAACCUCGCCCGUGUCUCUAUCUUGAUCCGAUUUUUCAAAAGCUUUCGCCUUUUAACAGGAACGUUUACUUCUUAUUUGGAGGGAUGUGAGGGAGAGCCAUGCCUGUGGGGCCUUGUUUGGGGUUCGUUAACCAAGUGGAAUUGUGUUACCCAUAAUUGAGGGAAGGCUGCUUAAGUCAUGAGUUUAUCACUGUAUAAAACCCCCUGUUUUCUUUCCAUCAUGUGUCCUCCGAGGGGCACUAACAGCCACCAUUGAAGAACCUGCUUAGAAAAAUGGAAGCAGUGAUUUACCUGUUAUGACUGUGGUCUCCAUAGAGGCCGUUUAACUGGAAACUUGGGGUGCAGAGUGCAAGCAUGCAAGGAAAACUAGGUCUGGUGUUUGUCUAUAUUUAGUCCUGAUAUAUUGGUUUCGCACUAUUUCUCUCUUGAAAGUCAGGAAAACUCUCACCUCACUUAAAGAAACUUUGCAUUUACUAAAUUAUUCUAGAGAACUUAUGAAGUGCCAGACAUAGUU